rnacentral:piRNA from 1 species
UCUAGACCCAUAGUUUAAAGGGGGACCCGAU